rnacentral:rRNA from 1 species
GACGUAGGGCGCGAGCGUUGUCCGGAUUUAUUGGGCGUAAAGAGCUCGUAGGCGGCUUGUCGCGUCGUCCGUGAAAACCUGCAGCUCAACUGCAGGCUUGCGGUCGAUACGGGCAGGCUCGAGUUCGGUAGGGGAGACUGGAAUUCCUGGUGUAGCGGUGAAAUGCGCAGAUAUCAGGAGGAACACCGGUGGCGAAGGCGGCAUCCUGGACCGGUAUUGACGCUGAGGCGCGAAAGCUAGGGGAGCAAACGGG